GGGUCUGUAGCUUAGUGGUAAAGCAGUAGACUUUUAAUCUAUGGACGGGGGUUCGAUUCUCCCCAGACCCACCA
rnacentral:tRNA from 1 species